CGGCUACAGGCCACCUGCUGCUCCUCUUCUGUCGUCGGCUCUCGCAGCCCUCGCCGGUCUUCUUCCGCGCGCUGCAGCUGUUCGAACGAUUUAUGCAGGCGCACAUGAUGGAGAUGUCCCAGUACAUAACCACAAAGGUGGAGCGAGCAAACAGGGAUAAGGAGUGGAAGAGCUUGCUGGAGCGAAUACACAGUCAGGCCAUUCUCAGAAUGUUGUCCUGCGUCCAGAUCUCUUCAAAACUUUCUCUGCAUUACAAGAUUGUCACGACGAAGCGUGUGAAGGGCCUGCUUCGGGAGGCGAAGCACUGCUACAGCCUGGAGAGCGUUGUUAGCUCAGAGGUCAGGGUUCUCAAGACCCUG